GACGAACGCUGGCGGCGUGCUUAACACAUGCAAGUCGAACGGUGAACCUCUUCGGAGGGGAUCAGUGGCGAACGGGUGAGUAACACGUGGGCAACCUGCCCCCGGCUCUGGGAUAACUCCAAGAAAUUGGGGCUAAUACCGGAUGUUCACCGCUUCCCGCAUGGGUGGUGGUGGAAAGGGUUUCCGGCUGGGGCUGGGCCCGCGGCCUAUCAGCUUGUUGGUGGGGUAGUGGCCUACCAAGGCGACGACGGGUAGCCGGCCUGAGAGGGUGACCGGCCACGCGGGGAAGGAGAGGGGGCCAGGCGUCGGGGGGGGGGAGGAGGGGGGGAAUUGGGCGAAGGGGGGGGAGGCGGGAGGCAGGGCCGCGGGGGGGGGGAGGAGGGCCUGGGGGUGGAAACCCUCUUGCGGGGGGGAAGAGGCGAAAGGGGGGGUACCGGAAGAAGAAGCCCGGGCAAACUAGGUG
rnacentral:rRNA from 1 species